CCAGACUUCUCCCCUACUAAUCUACUACCACCACCACCACCACCACCACCAUCCAUCUUCUAUUCCCCGUCCCUCCUCCCUACAAACCAUCACUACCUUUUCUUUCUUCCUCUCAAAAACCUUUCUACCGAUCUUUUUUUGCAAAGUUCGGAGCUAUGAUCUGAAGUGGGGGUGUAUGGGAUUGGCUUCGGGGGUUUCAGAUUUGCUGGGGUGGGGUUUUGGAAGUUGAUCCGCUCGGAUCUCUAAUCUCUGUUCUUGAAUCUUGAUUUGCUUCGGAUUUUAUUUUUAUUUGAUUAGCUCGAUAAAUUCGAAUUUCGCUGUGAUGUAUUAAUUGUUCACGGAAAUGGAAAGUAACAUUUGGUGUGAAUUUCGCUGUGAUGUAUCUUGAUCUCUAAUCUCUGUUCUUGAAGAAGCAGAUUUUGGGCUCCUGUAAUUAAUG
rnacentral:lncRNA from 1 species